rnacentral:sRNA from 1 species
AGCAGCCGCGGUAAUUCCAGCUCCAAUAGCGUAUAUUAAAGUUGUUGCAGUUAAAAAGCUCGUAGUUGAAUUUCGGGAUCAGUUCGCUGGUCGUGCCUUGGUAUGUACUGGUGUUACUGGUUCCUACCUUCUGACGAACCGUCAUGUCAUUAAUUUGGUGUGGCGGGGAAUCAGGACUGUUACUUUGAAAAAAUUAGAGUGUUUAAAGCAGGCUCGCGCUUGAAUACAUUAGCAUGGAAUAAUGAAAUAGGACGUUCGAUCCUAUUUUGUUGGUUUCUAGGAUUGACGUAAUGAUUAAUAGGGAUAGUUGGGGGCAUUAGUAUUCAAUUGUCAGAGGUGAAAUUCUUGGAUUUUAUUGAAGACUAACUACUGCGAAAGCAUUUGCCAAGGAUGUUUUCAUUAAUCAAGAACGAAAGUUAGGGGAUCGAAGACGAUCAGAUACCGUCGUAGUCUUAACCAUAAACUAUGCCGAC